CCCCUAGAUGUUCUGGGCCGCACGCGCGCUACACUGAACAGUUCAACAAGUCUUAACCUUGGCCGAUAGGUCUGGGUAAUCUUUGAACGCUGUUCGUGAUUGGGAUAGACCUUUGCAAUUAUGGGUCUUCAACGAGGAAUUCCUAGUAAACGCAAGUCAUCAGCUUGCAUUGAUUACGUCCCUGCCCUUUGUACACACCGCCCGUCGCACCUACCGAUUGAAUGGUCCGGUGAAAUCUCGGGACGGCGGCUUGGUCGCUUGCGUACGACUGCUGAAACUUGAUUAAACCAUAUCAUUUAGAGGAAGGUGAAGUCGUAACA
rnacentral:rRNA from 1 species